rnacentral:rRNA from 1 species
AUUGAACGCUGGCGGCAUGCCUUACACAUGCAAGUCGAACGGUAACGGGCCUUCGGUGCCGACGAGUGGCGAACGGGUGAGUAAUGUAUCGGAACGUACCUUUCAGUGGGGGAUAACGUAGCGAAAGUUACGCUAAUACCGCAUAUUCUGUGAGCAGGAAAGCAGGGGAUCGCAAGACCUUGCGCUGAUUGAGCGGCCGAUAUCAGAUUAGCUAGUUGGUGAGGUAAAGGCUCACCAAGGCGACGAUCUGUAGCGGGUCUGAGAGGAUGAUCCGCCACACAGGAACUGAGACACGGUCCAGACUCCUACGGGAGGCAGCAGUGGGGAAUUUUGGACAAUGGGCGCAAGCCUGAUCCAGCCAUGCCGCGUGAGUGAAGAAGGCCU